UACGGGGGGAGCAAGCGUUGUUCGGAUUUACUGGGCGUAAAGGGCGCGUAGGCGGCCGAUCAAGUCGGGGGUGAAAGCCUGUGGCUUAACCACAGAAUGGCCUUCGAUACUGUUUGGCUUGAGACCGGAAGAGGUUAGUGGAACUGCGAGUGUAGAGGUGAAAUUCGUAGAUAUUCGCAAGAACACCAGUGGCGAAGGCGGCUGACUGGUCCGGUUCUGACGCUGAGGCGCGAAAACGUGGGGAGCAAACAGG
rnacentral:rRNA from 1 species